rnacentral:rRNA from 1 species
UACGGAGGGUCCAAGCGUUAUCCGGAAUCAUUGGGCUUAAAGGGUCCGUAGGCGGUUUUGUAAGUCUGUGGUGAAAGCCCAUCGCUCAACGGUGGAACGGCCAUUGAUACUGCAAGACUUGAAUUAUUGGGAAGUAACUAGAAUAUGUAGUGUAGCGGUGAAAUGCUUAGAGAUUACAAGGAAUACCAAUUGCGAAGGCAGGUUACUACAAAGAUAUUGACGCUGAAGGACGAAAGCGUGGGGAGCAAACAGG